ACACAGAAUGGAACUUUGGCUCUGUUAGUAGAGCAUGAGACUGUUAAUCUCAGGGUCAUAGGUUUGAACCCCAUUCUGGGCA